rnacentral:sRNA from 1 species
CUUCGUCGAUUUGCUGGGGGCAGAUGAAAUGGAUGUGGGAGUCGAAGCCACCUGCGGUAACGAUGUGUCCUUCUCCGGCAAUGACUUCGGUGGAAGCUCCUACUGUCAUUGACGGGUGGAUACCGUCUUGGAUAAGGGGGUUGCCUGCGUGUCCGAUGCCGACGAUGCGUCCGUUCUUGAUGCCGAUGUCGGCUUUGAUGACGCCUUGGAUGGCGUCGAGGAUGGUGGCGUUGGUGAUGACGAGGUCGAGGGAGUCGGCCCCGGCGGCUUUAGGGGAUUGGCCCAUGCCGUCGCGGAUG